rnacentral:rRNA from 1 species
CUACGGGCUGCAGCAGUAGGGAAUUUUCGGCAAUGGAGGAAACUCUGACCGAGCAACGCCGCGUGAAUGAAGACAUAUUUCGGUAUGUAAAGUUCUUUUAUUAGGGAAGAAUAGCCCAUGGAAAAAUGGGUGUGACGGUACCUAAUGAAUAAGCCCCGGCUAACUAUGUGCCAGCAGCCGCGGUAAUACAUAGGGGGCAAGCGUUAUCCGGAAUUAUUGGGCGUAAAGGGUGCGUAGGCGGCCAUUUAAGUCUUUGGUAUAAGUGCAGUGCUUAACGCUGUGAUGCUAAGGAAACUGAAUGGCUUGAGUGAGAUAGAGGCAAGUGGAAUUCCAUGUGUAGCGGUAAAAUGCGUAAAUAUAUGGAGGAACACCAGUGGCGAAGGCGGCUUGCUGGGUCUACACUGACGCUGAGGCACGAAAGCGUGGGGAGCAAACAGGAUUAGAUACCCGAGUAGUC